AUGAUCCACUUGGAGGCAUCCCUGAUCUAAUUGCUAUGGGUACAAAUUGCUUUUCCUAUGACUGUUGAUUAAAACCCUGAUUGCCUUUUCCAGCUUUCAGCAAUGUACCACAGCCUGCCACUCAAAACAAAAGUAGAGUGGAUUCACAUAACAGAAAUGAGGAAAGAUUCUCUAAACUGAGCAAUGGAAAAGGAAUUCCAGAAACUCAGGAAAGAGAUCCAGAAUCCCAACAGAAUUCUUGCAGAGUUGAAGAAUUAAAGAAGAUAUUUGAGCCUCCAGCCUUAACCCAUGGGCCAGAGAAACCCCCACAGAAGGAAGGCAGAGUGGAGUCACCAAAGAGAGUCCAAACCAACUGCUCCAAGCAGAGCAAGGGAAAUGAAGAUCCAGUAAUUCUGGAAAGAGCCUUAACCUACAAGCCAGUGAAAUCAUCCCAGAAGGAAAGCAGCAUGGAUUCACAUAAGAGAGUCCAAGCAAGUCGCUCUAAGUCGAGCAAAGGGAAUGCAGAUCCAGAAAUUCUGGAAAGAGGUAACUGGGAGGUAGCUGAAAGAA